AUUGAACGCUGGCGGCAGGCUUAACACAUGCAAGUCGAACGAGUGGCGGACGGGUGAGUAAUGUCUGGGAAACUGCCCGAUGGAGGGGGAUAACUACUGGAAACGGUAGCUAAUACCGCAUACCAUCGGAUGUGCCCAGAUGGGAUUAGCUAGUAGGUGGGGUAACGGCUCACCUAGGCGACGAUCCCUAGCUGGUCUGAGAGGAUGACCAGCCACACUGGGACUGAGACACGGCCAAGACUCCUACGGGAGGCAGCAGUGGGGAAUAUUGCACAAUGGGCGCAAGCCUGAUGCAGCCAUGCCGCGUGUAUGAAGAAGGCCUUCGGGUUGUAAAGUACUUUCGGCGGGGAGGCGGUACUCGCAGAAGAAGCACCGGCUAACUCCGUGCCAGCAGCCGCGGUAAUUC
rnacentral:rRNA from 1 species